rnacentral:rRNA from 1 species
AUUGAACGCUGGCGGCAUGCCUUACACAUGCAAGUCGAACGGUAACAGGUUAAGCUGACGAGUGGCGAACGGGUGAGUAAUGUAUCGGAACGUGCCCAGUAGUGGGGGAUAACUGCUCGAAAGAGCAGCUAAUACCGCAUACGACCUGAGGGUGAAAGGGGGGGAUCGCAAGACCUCUCGCUAUUGGAGCGGCCGAUAUCAGAUUAGCUAGUUGGUGGGGUAAAGGCCUACCAAGGCAACGAUCUGUAGUUGGUCUGAGAGGACGACCAGCCACACUGGGACUGAGACACGGCCCAGACUCCUACGGGAGGCAGCAGUGGGGAAUUUUGGACAAUGGGCGCAAGCCUGAUCCAGCAAUGCCGCGUGCAGGAAGAAGGCCUUCGGGUUGUAAACUGCUUUUGUCAGGGAAGAAAUCCUCUAGGUUAAUACCCUUGGGGGGAUGACGGUACCUGAAGAAUAAGCACCGGCUAACUACGUGCCAGCCGCCGCAGUAACAC